UACAGAGGUCUCAAGCGUUGUUCGGAUUUAUUGGGCGUAAAGGGUGCGUAGGCGGCGCGGUAAGUCGGGUGUGAAAUCUCGGGGCUUAACUCCGAAACUGCAUUCGAUACUGCCGUGCUUGAGGACUGGAGAGGAGACUGGAAUUUACGGUGUAGCGGUGAAAUGCGUAGAUAUCGUAAGGAAGACCAGUGGCGAAGGCGAGUCUCUGGACAGUUACUGACGCUGAGGCACGAAGGCCAGGGGAGCAAACGGG
rnacentral:rRNA from 1 species